rnacentral:lncRNA from 1 species
AGGGAUUAUUUCGGGGUCUCCUUCUCUGUUUUUGGGGUUAUUUUGGGGGUCUCCUUCUCUAUUUUUGGGAUUAUUUUCGGGGUCUCCUUGCUUAUUUUUGGGAUUUGUUUUUAGGGAUUAUUUUGGGGUCUCCUUCUCUGUUUUUGGGAUUAUUUUCGGGCUCUUCUUCUCUAUUUCUGGGAUUGUUUUGGGGGCUCCCUCGUAGAUUUUUGGUGUUUUUUUGGGGGGCUCCUCUCCCCUUUAUUUAUUUAUUUAUUUAUUUAUUUUAUUUACUUAAAUCUGGGGGUUCCUCUCCCCCUUCCCCUCUGCAAUUUUUGGGGCAAAAAAAAGGAGAAAAACAGAGUGGGGGGAGUUGAAUUUAUUUUCUUUUUAUAACAAGAGGAGGGGGCUUCUAAUUUAUUUUAUUUUUUAGGAAAAAAGUGGGGUCCUUUCUCCUGAUUUUAUUUUUUUUUUUGUUU